rnacentral:rRNA from 1 species
CACCGCGGUUAUACGAGGGGCCCUAGUUGAGAAACACGGCGUAAAGGGUGGUUAAGGUAAGAAUAAAAUAAAGCUAAAGAGCCUCUUGGCCGUCAUACGCCUCUGAGCGUUCGAGACUCAUAUACGAAAGUAGCUUUAAUAUAAUCCACCUGACCCCACGAAAGCUGAGAAA